rnacentral:lncRNA from 1 species
UUGUGUUUAGACCAAGGUGUAGGAUUUAGGGGUCAAUUUGGAAAUAGAAAUUGAAUGUAGUUCAGUGGCUGACAGGUGUCCUUAAUUAGCCAACGACAUUAGAAGGGUCUGGGAUUCCUUUAAAAGGAGCAACCAAACAUCUGGCAAAUAUAGUAAAAGGGAUAUUCUGGUAGGACAUAUGCCUACCAUUAGUUCUGAAUACUGGUGAGGUUUUGAGGGCAAAAUGGCCGUGAUGAUUGGAAUCGCUUUCAGGUAUGUUUUUAAGUAUUGAUUAAGUUUGUUUCCCUUGUCCUUCAGGUGUUACAGGUAGCAAUGUUUAUGACAUACAUUAUUUUUCCUUAAGCAUUUCUUGGCUUUGUUGCCUGCUAAUUGGAGGGAUAACGUGUUCUACAUCAGAAGGUGAUUGGUCUCCUGCACUGGAUUCUAAUGCAGCAUGGCUCUAUGCAGGAUCACUUCGGUCUCUAGGAUAUGGCAAUUAUAAAUCUCAAAUGCAAGCGCAACAGAAACAUCCGGCCGCCAUCCUGCGGAAGGAACUGGCCCCCAUGUCCCAGCAACCUCAGCAAGUGUGGUAUCCAGUUCAAUUGCCCCUGCAUCAGAAGCAACUGGCCGCAGAAACUCAGCAGCAGAGGCAACCGACAACUGUGCCCCAGCAAGUGUGGCAUCAAGCUCACAUGCUGACACAACCACCGACCGCCGUGCCCCAGCAAGUGUGGCAUCAAGCUCACAUGCUGACGCAUAAGCAACCGACCGCCGUGCCCCAGCAAGUGUGGCAUCAAGCUCACAUGCUGACGCAUAAGCAACCGACCGCCGUGCCCCAGCAAGUGUGGCAUCCUGCUCAAAAGCCCCUGCAGCAGAAGCAACUGGCCGCAGAAGCUCAGCAGCAGAGGCAACCGACCGCCGUGCCCCAGCAAGUGUGGCAUCAAGCUCACAUGCUGACGCAUAAGCAACCGACCACUGUGCCCCAGCAAGUGUGGCAUCCUCCUCAAAUGCUCCUGCAGCAGAAGCAACCGACCGCCGUGCCCCAGCAAGUGUGGCAUCCUCCUCAAAUGCCCCUGCAGCAGAAGCAACCGACCGCCGUGCCCCAGCAAGUAUGGCAUCCUUCUCAAAUGCCCCUGCAAACAACCGCUGUGCCCCAGCAAGUGUGGCAUCCUCCUCAAAUGCCCCUGCAGCAUAAUCAACCGACCGCUGUGCCCCAGCAAGUGUGGCAUCCUGCUCAAAAGCCCCUGCAGCAGAAGCAACCGACCGCCGUGCCCCAGCAAGUGUGGCAUCAAGCUCACAUGCUGACGCAUAAGCAACCGACCGCUGUGCCCCAGCAAGUGUGGCAUCCUCCUCAAAUGCCCCUGCAGCAGAAGCAACCGACCACCGUGCCCCAGCAAGUGUGGCUUCCUCCUCAAUUGCCCCUGCAGCAGAAGCAACCGACCGCUGUGCCCCAGCAAGUAUGGCAUCCUUCUCAAAUGCCACUGCAAACAACCGCUGUGCCCCAGGAAGUGUGGCAUCCUCCUCAAAUGCCCCUGCAGCAUAUUCAACCGAUCGGCGUGCCCCAGCAAGUGUGGCUUCCUCCUCAAAUGCCCUUGCAGCAGAAGCAACCGAGCGCCGUGCCCCAGCAAGUGUGGCAUCCUCCUCAAAUGCCCCUGCAGCAGAAGCAACCGACCGCCGUGCCCCAGCAAGUGUGGCUUCCUCCUCAAAUGCCCUUGCAGCAGAAGCAACCGAGCGCCGUGCCCCAGCAAGUGUGGCUUCCUCAAUUGCCCCUGCAGCAGAAGCAGCCGACCGCCGUGCCCCAGCAAGUGUGGCUUCCUCAAUUGCCCCUGCAGCAGAAGCAACCGACCGCCGUGCCCCAGCAAGUGUGGCAUCCAGCUCAAAUGCAGCAGAAGCAACAGACCAACGUGCCCCAGCAAGUGUGGCAUCCAGCUCAAAUGCAGCAGAAGCAACCGACUGCCCUGUGCCAGCAAGUGUGGCAUCCUCCUCAAAUGGCCCUGCAGCAGAAGCAACUGACCACCGUGCCCCAGCAAGUGUGGCAUCCAGCUCAACUGCUGCAGGGGCAUUUGAGGAUGCCACACUUGCUGGGGCACAGCGGUCGGUUGCUUCUGCUGCAUUUGAGCUGGAUGCCACACUUGCUGGGGCACGGUGGUCAGUUGCUUCUGCUGCAGGGGCAUUUGAGAAGGAUGCCACACUUGCUGGGGCACGGCGGUCGGUUGCUUCUGUUGCAGGGCCAUUUGAGGAGGAUGCCACACUUGCUGGGGCAUGGCGGUCGGUUGCUUCUGCUGCAGGGGCAUUUGAGGAGGAUGCCACACUUGCUGGGGCACGGCAGUCGGUUGCUUCUGCUGCAUUUGAGCUGGAUGCAACACUUGCUGGGGCAUGGUGGUCAGUUGCUUCUGCUGCAGUGCCAUUUGAGGAGGAUGCCACACUUGCUGGGGCAUGGCGGUCGGUUGCUUCUGCUGCAUUUGAGCUGGAUGCAACACUUGCUGGGGCAUGGUGGUCAGUUGCUUCUGCUGCAGUGCCAUUUGAGGAGGAUGCCACACUUGCUGGGGCAUGGCGGUCGGUUGCUUCUGCUGCAGGGGCAUUUGAGGAGGAUGCCACACUUGCUGGGGCACGGCAGUCGGUUGCUUCUGCUGCAUUUUAGCUGGAUGCCACACUUGCUGGGACACGGCGGUCGGUUGCUUCUGCUGCAGGGGCAUUUGAGGAAGCCACACUUGCUGGGGCACGGCGGUCGGUUGCUUCUGCUGCAGGGGCAUUUGAGGAGGAAGCCACACUUGCUGGGGCACGGCGGUCGGUUGCUUCUGCUGCAGGGCCAUUUGAGGAGGAUGCCACACUUGCCGGGGCACGGCAGUCGUUUGCUUCUGCUGCAUUUGAGCUGGAAGCCACACUUGCCUGGGCACGGCGCUCGGUUGCUUCUGCUUCAAAGGCAUUUGAGGAGGAAGCCACACUUCCUGGGGCACGGUCGUCAGUUGCUUCUGCUGCAGGGGCAUUUGAGGAGGAUGCCACCCUUGCUGGGGCACGGCGGUCGGUUGCUUCUGCUGCAGGGGCAUUUGAGGAGGAUGCCACACUUGCUGGGGCACGGCGGUCGGUUGCUUCUGCUGCAGGGGCAAUUGAGGAGGAUGCCACACUUGCUGGGGCACGGCGCUCGGUUGCUUCUGCUGCAAGGGCAUUUGAGGAGGAAGCCACACUUGCUGGGGCACGGUGGUCGGUUGCUUCUGCUGCAGGGGCAUUUGAGGAGGAUGCCACACUUGCUGGGGCACGGCGGUCGGUUGCUUCUGCUGCAGGGGCAAUUGAGGAGGAAGCCACACUUGCUGGGGCACGCCGGUCGGUUGAAUAUGCUGCAGGGGCAUUUGAGGAGGAUGCCACACUUGCUGGGGCACAGUGGUUGUUUGCAGUGGCAUUUGAGAAGGAUGCCAUACUUGCUGGGGCACGGCGGUUGGUUGCUUCUGCUGCAGGGCCAUUUGAGGAGGAUGCCACAAUUGCUGGGGCACGGCGGUCGUUUGCCUCUGCUGCAGGGCCAUUUGAGGAGGAUGCCACACUUGCUGGGGCACAGUUGUCGGUUGCCUCUGCUGCUGAGCUUCUGCGGCCAGUUGCUUCUGAUGCAGGGGCAUUUGAACUGGAUACCACACUUGCUGAGGUUGCAUGGGGGCCAGUUCCUUCCGCAGGAUGGCAGCCGGAUGUUUCUGUUGCGCUUGCAUUUGAGAUUUAUAAUUGCCAUAUCCUAGAGACCGAAGUGAUCCUGCAUAGAGCCAUGCUGCAUUAGAAUCCAGUGCAGGAGACCAAUCACCUAGGUUAAAAAUAUAAACUGUAAAAUGCCAGCAUUUGAAGGUUAUGGAACUGCAUAGCUGUUAUUUGAAAUGAACUCACCUUCUGAUGUAGAAAACGUUAACCCUCCAAUUAGCAGGCAACAAAGCCAAGAAACGCUUAAGGAAAAAUAAUGUAUGUCAUAAACAUAGCUACCUGUAACACCUGAAGGACAAGGGAAACAAACUUAAUCAAUACUUAAAAACAUACCUGAAAGCGAUUCCAAUCACCACGGCCAUUUCGCCCUCAAAACCUCACCAGUAUUCAGAACUAAUGGUAGGCAUACGUCCUACCAGAAUAUCCCUUUUACUAUAUUUGCCAGAUGUUUGGUUGCUCCUUUUAAAGGAAUCCCAGACCCUUCUAAUGUCGUUGGCUAAUUAAGGACAGCUGUCAGCCACUGAA